rnacentral:rRNA from 1 species
CCUACGGGAGGCAGCAGUGGGGAAUAUUGCACAAUGGGGGAAACCCUGAUGCAGCGACGCCGCGUGAGUGAAGAAGUAUUUCGGUCUGUAAAGCUCUAUCAGCAGGGAAGAAAAUGACGGUACCUGAUUAAGAAGCCCCGGCUAACUACGUGCCAGCAGCCGCGGUAAUACGUAGGGGGCAAGCGUUAUCCGGCUUUACUGGGUGUAAAGGGAGCGUAGACGGCAGCACAAGGCUGGAGUGAAAUGCCGGGGCUUAACCCCGGAACUGCUUUGGAAACUGUGCAGCUAGAGGGCAGGAGAGGUAAGUGGAAUUCCUAGUGUAGCGGUGAAAUGCGUAGAUAUUAGGAGGAACACCAGUGGCGAAGGCGGCUUACUGGACUGUAACUGACGUUGAGGCUCGAAAGCGUGGGGAGCAAACAGGAUUAGAUACCCCAGUAGUC